rnacentral:rRNA from 1 species
UUAAGCGACUAAGCGUACACGGUGGAUGCCCUGGCAGUCAGAGGCGAUGAAGGGCGUGCUAAUCUGCGAUAAGCGCCGGUAAGGUGAUAUGAACCGUUAUAACCGGCGAUACCCGAAUGGGGAAACCCAGUGUGAUUCGUCACACUAUCAUUAACUGAAUCCAUAGGUUAAUGAGGCGAACCGGGGGAACUGAAACAUCUAAGUACCCCGAGGAAAAGAAAUCAACCGAGAUUCCCCCAGUAGCGGCGAGCGAACGGGGAGGAGCCCAGAGCCUGAAUCAGCAUGUGUGUUAGUGGAAGCGUCUGGAAAGGCGCGCGAUACAGGGUGACAGCCCCGUACACAAAAGCGCAUGUGCUGUGAGCUCGAUGAGUAGGGCGGGACACGUGGUAUCCUGUCUGAAUAUGGGGGGACCAUCCUCCAAGGCUAAAUACUCCUGACUGACCGAUAGUGAACCAGUACCGUGAGGGAAAGGCGAAAAGAACCCCGGCGAGGGGAGUGAAAAAGAACCUGAAACCGUGUACGUACAAGCAGUGGGAGCACCCUUCGGGGUGUGACUGCGUACCUUUUGUAUAAUGGGUCAGCGACUUAUAUUCUGUAGCAAGGUUAACCGUAUAGGGGAGCCGGAGGGAAACCGAGUCUUAAUUGGGCGUUAAGUUGCAGGGUAUAGACCCGAAACCCGGUGAUCUAGCCAUGGGCAGGUUGAAGGUUGGGUAACACUAACUGGAGGACCGAACCGACUAAUGUUGAAAAAUUAGCGGAUGACCUGUGGCUGGGGGUGAAAGGCCAAUCAAACCGGGAGAUAGCUGGUUCUCCCCGAAAGCUAUUUAGGUAGCGCCUCGUGAAUUCAUCUCCGGGGGUAGAGCACUGUUUCGGCUAGGGGGCCAUCCCGGCUUACCAACCCGAUGCAAACUGCGAAUACCGGAGAAUGUUAUCACGGGAGACACACGGCGGGUGCUAACGUCCGUCGUGAAGAGGGAAACAACCCAGACCGCCAGCUAAGGUCCCAAAGUCAUGGUUAAGUGGGAAACGAUGUGGGAAGGCCCAGACAGCCAGGAUGUUGGCUUAGAAGCAGCCAUCAUUUAAAGAAAGCGUAAUAGCUCACUGGUCGAGUCGGCCUGCGCGGAAGAUGUAACGGGGCUAAACCAUGCACCGAAGCUGCGGCAGCGAACGUAUCACCCAAGACAACUUUACGGAGUUGACGAUUGACGGAGCGAAGCGACGUCAAAGCGUUCAUUAAAGUCGAGUUGGCUUAGGGAUACGUUCGUUGGGUAGGGGAGCGUUCUGUAAGCCUGUGAAGGUGUGUCGUGAGGCAUGCUGGAGGUAUCAGAAGUGCGAAUGCUGACAUAAGUAACGAUAAAGCGGGUGAAAAGCCCGCUCGCCGGAAGACCAAGGGUUCCUGUCCAACGUUAAUCGGGGCAGGGUGAGUCGACCCCUAAGGCGAGGCCGAAAGGCGUAGUCGAUGGGAAACGGGUUAAUAUUCCCGUACUUGGUGUUACUGCGAAGGGGGGACGGAGAAGGCUAUGUUGGCCGGGCGACGGUUGUCCCGGUUUAAGCGUGUAGGUGUGUGUUCCAGGUAAAUCCGGUUCACUUUAACACUGAGGCGUGACGACGAGGCACUACGGUGCUGAAGCAACAAAUGCCCUGCUUCCAGGAAAAGCCUCUAAGCAUCAGGUAACAUCAAAUCGUACCCCAAACCGACACAGGUGGUCAGGUAGAGAAUACCAAGGCGCUUGAGAGAACUCGGGUGAAGGAACUAGGCAAAAUGGUGCCGUAACUUCGGGAGAAGGCACGCUGACACGUAGGUGAAGUGAUUUACUCAUGGAGCUGAAGUCAGUCGAAGAUACCAGCUGGCUGCAACUGUUUAUUAAAAACACAGCACUGUGCAAACACGAAAGUGGACGUAUACGGUGUGACGCCUGCCCGGUGCCGGAAGGUUAAUUGAUGGGGUCAGCGCAAGCGAAGCUCCUGAUCGAAGCCCCGGUAAACGGCGGCCGUAACUAUAACGGUCCUAAGGUAGCGAAAUUCCUUGUCGGGUAAGUUCCGACCUGCACGAAUGGCGUAAUGAUGGCCAGGCUGUCUCCACCCGAGACUCAGUGAAAUUGAACUCGCUGUGAAGAUGCAGUGUACCCGCGGCAAGACGGAAAGACCCCGUGAACCUUUACUAUAGCUUGACACUGAACAUUGAGCCUUGAUGUGUAGGAUAGGUGGGAGGCUUUGAAGUGUGGACGCCAGUCUGCAUGGAGCCGACCUUGAAAUACCACCCUUUAAUGUUUGAUGUUCUAACGUGGACCCGUAAUCCGGGUUGCGGACAGUGUCUGGUGGGUAGUUUGACUGGGGCGGUCUCCUCCUAAAGAGUAACGGAGGAGCACGAAGGUUGGCUAAUCCUGGUCGGACAUCAGGAGGUUAGUGCAAUGGCAUAAGCCAGCUUGACUGCGAGCGUGACGGCGCGAGCAGGUGCGAAAGCAGGUCAUAGUGAUCCGGUGGUUCUGAAUGGAAGGGCCAUCGCUCAACGGAUAAAAGGUACUCCGGGGAUAACAGGCUGAUACCGCCCAAGAGUUCAUAUCGACGGCGGUGUUUGGCACCUCGAUGUCGGCUCAUCACAUCCUGGGGCUGAAGUAGGUCCCAAGGGUAUGGCUGUUCGCCAUUUAAAGUGGUACGCGAGCUGGGUUUAGAACGUCGUGAGACAGUUCGGUCCCUAUCUGCCGUGGGCGCUGGAGAACUGAGGGGGGCUGCUCCUAGUACGAGAGGACCGGAGUGGACGCAUCACUGGUGUUCGGGUUGUCAUGCCAAUGGCACUGCCCGGUAGCUAAAUGCGGAAGAGAUAAGUGCUGAAAGCAUCUAAGCACGAAACUUGCCCCGAGAUGAGUUCUCCCUGAGACUUAGAGUCUCCUGAAGGAACGUUGAAGACGACGACGUUGAUAGGCCGGGUGUGUAAGCGCAGCGAUGCGUUGAGCUAACCGGUACUAAUGAACCGUGAGGCUUAACCUUACAACGCCGAAGAUGUUUU